rnacentral:rRNA from 1 species
CGUUGAUUACGUCCCUGCCCUUUGUACACACCGCCCGUCGCUACUACCGAUUGAAUGGCGUAGUGAGGUCGUCGGAUUGGCUUCGGAGGGCCGGCAACGGCCCAUUGUUGGUGAGAAGUUGAUCAAACUAGGUCAUUGAGAGGAAGUAAAAGUCGUAACAAGG